rnacentral:rRNA from 1 species
AGUGAACGAUGGCGGCAUGCCUUACACAUGCAAGUCGAACGGCAGAAUGAUCUAGCAUGCUAGAUUGAUGGCGAGUGGCGAACGGGUGAGUAAUACAUCGGAACGUGCCCUGUAGUGGGGGAUAACGAGUCGAAAGAUUAGCUAAUACCGCAUAAGAACUGAGGGUGAAAGGGGGGGAGCGAAUGGCCUGAGGAGAUGGGAACGGGCGAUGCCUGAUAAGCUAGUUGGUGAGGUAAAGGCUCACCAAGGCGACGAUCAGUAGCUGGUCUGAGCGGACGAUCAGCCACACUGGGACUGAGACACGGCCCAGACUCCUACGGGAGGCAGCAGUGGGGAAUUUCGGACAAUGGGGGCAACCCUGAUCCAGCAAUGCCGCGUGUGUGAAGAAGGCCUUCGGGUUGUAAAGCACUUUUGUCCGGAAAGAAAUCGCAAUUACUAAUAUUAGGUGUGGAUGACGGUACCGGAAGAAUAAGGACCGGCUAACUACGUGCCAGCCGCCGCCGUAACAC